CCAACAGGGAUUGCCCUAGUAACGGCGAGUGAAGCGGCAACAGCUCAAAUUUGAAAUCUGGCGCAAGCCCGAGUUGUAAUUUGUAGAGGAUGCUUCUGGGCAGCGGCCGUUCUAAGUUCCUUGGAACAGGACGUCAUAGAGGGUGAGAAUCCCGUACGUGACCGGCGCGCACCCUCCACGUAGCUCCUUCGACGAGUCGAGUUGUUUGGGAAUGCAGCUCUAAAUGGGAGGUAAAUUUCUUCUAAAGCUAAAUACCGGCCAGAGACCGAUAGCGCACAAGUAGAGUGAUCGAAAGAUGAAAAGCACUUUGGAAAGAGAGUUAAAAAGCACGUGAAAUUGUUGAAAGGGAAGCGCUUACAACCAGACUUCGGGGCGGUGUUCCGCCGGUCUUCUGACCGGUCCACUCGCCGCCGCGAGGCCAGCAUCACCUGGGGCCGCCGGAUAAGACCGUAGGAAUGUGGCUCCCCUCGGGGAGUGUUAUAGCCUGCGGUGAUGCGGCGCGCCUCGGGUGAGGUCCGCACUUCGGUAAGGAUGCUGGCGUAAUGGUUGUCAGCGGCCCGUCUUGAAACACGGACCAAGGAGUCUAACAUCUAUGCGAGUGUUCGGGUGUCAAACCCCUACGCGUAAUGAAAGUGAACGGAGGUGGGAACGCAAGUGCACCAUCGACCGAUCCUGAUGUCCUCGGAUGGAUUUGAGUAAGAGCAUAGCUGUUGGGACCCGAAAGAUGGUGAACUAUGCCUGAAUAGGGUGAAGCCAGAGGAAACUCUGGUGGAGGCUCGCAGCGGUUCUGACGUGCAAAUCGAUCGUCAAAUUUGGGUAUAGGGGCGAAAGA
rnacentral:rRNA from 1 species